AGGUUUGGAACAACUUGUUGACAACUUGUAACAACCUUGUCGAAAUUACCAGACUUGUUGCAAGGUUUUUCUGACAAGUCCGUUACAUGCUUGACAUAACAAGAUUGUUACAACCUUGUGUUGAUAACCUUGUAACAUCCUUGUUAUAUCAUGGCUGUAACAAACUUGUUAGCACAAUCUUGUAACAAAGCUGGUAAUGCCAUCAAGCUUGUUAGAAGUUGCUAACAGCUUGUUUCAAACUU